UACGUAGGGGGUAAGCGUUGUCCGGAAUCAUUGGGCGUAAAGAGCGUGUAGGCGGUCCGGUAAGUCGGCUGUGAAAGUCCAGGGCUCAACCCUGGGAUGCCGGUCGAUACUGCCGGACUAGAGUUCGGAAGAGGCGAGUGGAAUUCCCGGUGUAGCGGUGAAAUGCGCAGAUAUCGGGAGGAACACCUAUGGCGAAGGCGGCAUCCUGGACCGGCAUUGACGCUGAG
rnacentral:rRNA from 1 species